UACGGAGGGUGCGAGCGUUGUUCGGAAUCACUGGGCGUAAAGCGCGUGUAGGCGGUUGAAUAAGUCGGAUGUGAAAGCCCGGAGCUCAACUCCGGAAGUGCAUUCGAAACUGUUCGGCUCGAGUACGGGAGAGGGAAGUGGAAUUCCUGGUGUAGAGGUGAAAUUCGUAGAUAUCAGGAGGAACACCGGUGGCGAAGGCGGCUUCCUGGACCGAUACUGACGCUGAGACGCGAAAGCGUGGGGAGCAAACAGG
rnacentral:rRNA from 1 species